UGUCAUGCUGGGGGGUGUCCACGAGGACUGAGAGCGCCGCCGCCAAAGGCGCGACCCCUUGAACCUGAUCCGGAUCAUGCCGGCGGAGGGAACGGCCCGUCCUGUCGCA
rnacentral:ncRNA from 2 species